rnacentral:rRNA from 1 species
ACUCAAAUGAAUUGACGGGGGCCCGCACAAGCAGUGGAGUAUGUGGUUUAAUUCGAAGCAACGCGAAGAACCUUACCAGGGCUUGACAUCCUCUGCCAACUGUAGAGAUACAGGGUUUCCUUCGGGAACAGAGAGACAGGUGGUGCAUGGUUGUCGUCAGCUCGUGUCGUGAGAUGUUGGGUUAAGUCCCGCAACGAGCGCAACCCCUGUCGUCAGUUGCCAUCAGGUUAAGCUGGGCACUUUGGCGAGACCGCCGUUGACAAAACGGAGGAAGGUGGGGACGACGUCAAAUCAUCAUGCCCCUUAUGUCCUGGGCUACACACGUACUACAAUGGCAACAACAACGGGCAGCCAAGCCGCGAGGCCAAGCCAAUCCCUGAAAUGUUGUCUCAGUUCGGAUUGCAGGCUGCAACUCGCCUGCAUGAAGUCGGAAUUGCUAGUAAUGGCAGGUCAGCAUACUGCCGUGAAUACGUUCCCGGGCCUUGUACACACCGCCCGU